ensembl:lncRNA
AAGCAAAUGAUUGCAAAUGAUUGCACAGAUACUAUUUAAACUGAAUCACUGAAUUCAAUGAUGAACUGCCUUUAACUGUCAUUUCUCAUGACUCAUGACAACACUGGUUGGGGAACGGUCAUGAGUGGCCGCUUGGCCCGUGGUCUGUGGAGUGGUCACCAUCUCAAGUGGCACUGCCUGGAGAUGACGGCCGUGUUUCUAGCAUUGAAACACUUCCUCCCAGACCUAAGAGAUCACCAUGUAUUGGUGCGGACUGACAACACAGCGGUGGUCUCUUAUAUCAACCACCAGAGAGGUCUGCAUCCGCGCCCCAUUUACAGGCUGGCGCACCAGAUCCUUCUGUGGUCCCAGGGCAAACUCCUCUCACUGAGAGCAGUUCACACCCCUGGGCAUCUCAAUAUGGGAGCAGACAUCCUGUUGAGGCAGGGGCCAAGGCCCAGUGAAUGGAGACUUCACCCGGGGGUGGUGAAGCAGAUAUGGAGAGUUUUUGGCCAGGCUCAGGUGGACCUGUUUGCUCUGGUUCUCUCUGACUCAUCCGGCUCCACUGGGCCUGGAUGCCAUGGUACAGAUGUGGCUGAGGCUUUGUCUGUACACCUUUCCCCCAAUCACUCUGCUCCUGGGAGUUCUGGAGUGAGUACGCUGGGACGGUGUCUGUUUACAUCUAGUAGCCCAAUUCUGUCUGGGCCAAGUAUGGUUCUUGGACCUGAUUUCUUUCCUCGAUGGCUCUCCAUGGGAGAUUCCUGUCAGGAGGGUUCUCCUCUCACAGGCGGAGGGUACAAUCCUUCACCCCCCGCACGAAGCUGUGGAUACAGUCUAUACAGUUUCCUCGUAGAGGGAGCUCUGGAUCGGAGGAUCGGAGGAUGUAACAUUUUUUAUUCACAUUCAUAAAUCAUGCUACGUCAGUGAAACACAGGAAUAAAAAGGUCCUCAAUGAAGUGCCUACUGCUCCAUUCAUUAGUGGACUUUAUUUGUAGAUUGUACAUCCCUAUUUAAGAAUUAAAAAGAAAAACUAAAUAUUAAUUGAAACUAAUUACACAAAUGAUUAUCCUAAACAUAAAGUAGUUUUCUUUUUCUUUUCUUUUUUUAUUGUCAC